GCGAAGGCAGCGUACCGGCGCCAGACUGACGCUGAGGCACGAAAGCGUGGGGAUCGAACAGGAUUAGAUACCCUGGUAGUCCACGCAGUAAACGAUGAAUGCUGGUUGUCCGGGUCGAAUGAGAUCUGGGCGGCGAAGCGAAAGCGAUAAGCAUUCCACCUGGGGAGUACGCCGGCAACGGUGAAACUCAAAGGAAUUGACGGGGGCCCGCACAAGCGGAGGAACAUGUGGUUUAAUUCGAUGAUACGCGAGGAACCUUACCCGGGCUCAAACGGGAGUGGAAUGGACCAGAGACGGUUCAGCCUACGGGCCGCUUCCGAGGUGCUGCAUGGUUGUCGUCAGCUCGUGCCGUGAGGUGUCGGCUUAAGUGCCAUAACGAGCGCAACCCCCGCCGGCAGUUGCUAACGGGCAAUGCCGAGGGCUCUGCCGGGACUGCCGCCGCAAGGCGAGAGGAAGGCGGGGAUGACGUCAAAUCAGCACGGCCCUUACGUCCGGGGCGACACACGUGUUACAAUGGGCGGUACAGCGGGAAGCCAGGCGGCGACGCCGAGCGGAACCCGAAAGCCGUUCUCAGUUCGGAUCGGAGUCUGCAACCCGACUCCGUGAAGCUGGAUUCGCUAGUAAUCGCGCAUCAGCCAUGGCGCGGUGAAUACGUUCCCGGGCCUUGUACACACCGCCCGUCAAGCCAUGGGAGCCGGGGGUGCUUGAAGUGCGUCGCCGCGAGGCGCGCCCUAGAGCAAAACCGGUGACUGGGGCUAAGUCGUAACAAGGUAACCGUAA
rnacentral:rRNA from 1 species